rnacentral:rRNA from 1 species
GAUGAACGCUGGCGGCGUGCCUAAUACAUGCGAGUCGAGCGAACAGACGAGGAGCUUGCUCCUCUGACGUUAGCGGCGGACGGGUGAGUAACACGUGGAUAACCUACCUAUAAGACUGGGAUAACUUCGGGAAACCGGAGCUAAUACCGGAUAAUAUAUUGAACCGCAUGGUUCAAUAGUGAAAGACGGUUUUGCUGUCACUUAUAGAUGGAUCCGCGCCGCAUUAGCUAGUUGGUAAGGUAACGGCUUACCAAGGCAACGAUGCGUAGCCGACCUGAGAGGGUGAUCGGCCACACUGGAACUGAGACACGGUCCAGACUCCUACGGGAGGCAGCAGUAGGGAAUCUUCCGCAAUGGGCGAAAGCCUGACGGAGCAACGCCGCGUGAGUGGUGAAGGUCUUCGGAUCGUAAAACUCUGUUAUUAGGGAAGAACAAAUGUGUAAGUAACUAUGCACGUCUUGACGGUACCUAAUCAGAAAGCCACGGCUAACUACGUG